UGGAUAUACCCCUGAAACAACCCCCACUGCCAUAUAUGAGACUUCCACAAUUAUUCACAGGAAAAGAUCAAAGACCUUUGACAUUGCCACCUCUGGAGAAAGCCUAGCCACCACUCUUGGUCAGUUUUCUACCACUGCCUCUGUAGAUGCAACUACUACCCAUAAAGAGGCCUCCCCUGCUGUACCUAAGGAGAACAUGCCCUUUGUUCCUGUCCCUAAAGGAGAUCCCAUGACUGAACUUCAAGAAAUAAAUUUAGUGUCCAGAGGGGAAAUAAUCCACUCAGCAGCGACCCCUCUGCCAUACUGGUCCAUCGUGCUCAUCAGCAUUGCAGUCACAAUAGUCUUGGUUGCUGGGCUGUGCAUGGUCAUCUAUCACGCAAUGUUCUACAUUUUGAUCACCUACUAAACACUGUAAUCGGGCACAUUUCCUUGAAACUGUUUCCAGGAUAUUACCAUGCUUCAGCACAUUUAUCUACCUUUGGUUAUGGAUGGUCUAAGAAAGGAUACCUGUAAGAAUUUCUGGAAGGAAGCAGGUGGACAGAAUCACCAAGAUGUAUUUGCGUAUUACAGUUUGCCAGUUGCUCCACUCCAGAGACAGAUGCAAGCAAAAUUAUCAAAUGUUCUGUAUAUUUGCAAGCUAAAAGAAAAAACACACACACAUUAAAUAAAAAGGCCACUUCUAUUACCUUUUCCAGGUAAGUGGCAUUCUGCUGGCUGUCUUAUAUCGUACAGUCCUAGUAAAUGGACUUGCAGUUUGCAAGCAUUCCUCCUAUAGGACAAAAUGACCAUGCACUCUUCCUUCACUCGUUGCUAGUUGAUGCCCAGAGGAGUUUGUCUGUUAAGAACACUGUAUUCCUGUCUCCAGCAUUUAAGCUCUUUCAUGCUUGUCAAUUUUCUAAGCAAUUUUCAUGGAAAUGUGAGACAGAUUGAAAAGCAGUAAACUGAAAAAACUAUAGCUUGUUCAUUGCUUCAUAAUUCAGUGAAAGUCCAGGUUUUCUGUCUCAAACAGUACCUGAGAAAACCGCCAAAUAUUUAUUUAUUAUUUAUUAAUUAUUAAUUACAUUUAUAAACCGCACCAUCCAAAGGCUCUGGGUGGUGUACAACAAAUUU